CACGGUAACUCCCCGUCCGCAUGCCCCGCUUAGGCUGAAGACGCCACCCCGCAUCCUUCCUCCUACCCAAGGAGAAACCCUAACCCUCGCCUGGAAGGGGCAAGAGCGAGAGCGCGAGGGAGAGCAAUGGAUCGUUCCAAGCUGGGCGAGCUACAUUCGUACGUGGAGGCUUGCAAGAAGGCUCCCGUCGCCCAUGUCGCCGCCAUUGCCCGGUCGCAGAUUGGAGCACGGAACCGCCUCGCACCUCCUGCCACCCGCCGCCACUUUGCCAGGCAGGACACCCUUCUUCCAUGCUUAAGCUGAGUUGAUCUUCUCAUCUGGCGGGCUCAAGCUCCUCGUGGUCAUCCGAGCUGACCUCCUCGCCUUGAUAGGAUUACAUUCAUCAUUUUGGACGUACUGCACCUGGUGAUAAAGGAAAAGGAACUGUAUUGUUAUUCUUCAUGCCCAAACAAUUAGAGUUUCUCAUCUCCUUGAGGGCAGCCAACAUUCAUCUCACAGAGCACGAGUUUAAUAACAAGAAUGUGCCAAAAUGCAAGCACAUUUUGAUAAAAUUGCUGGCGAUAGCUACUUCCUACAUCAGUCGGCUCAGCCAGCCUAUAGAUCCUACAUUCUACCAUACGACUCACACGCCAUGAAAGACAUCUUUAGUGUUCAUGGUCUCAGUUUGAAGGUAAAAUGCUUCUUGAAGGUUUUUGUGGGAUCUCUGUAUUUUGAUGUUUCGCUGGUUUACAGGUCGCUGUUAUUUUGGAUAGCAUGUAGAAGCAACCUUGUCUUUUUGUUAAUAUUUCGGUGAGCAUCUCCCAGAAGUACUUGGCUGAUAGUAUUUUCAUCACCGCUAAUAUUUUUGUUUCAUGAAAAGGUUCUCCUGUUUAUCUUGUGUAAACUGACUUCACAUACCAAAUUUGUUUUUAAUGUCCAAUUCACUACGAUUUGCCAGGACGUAGGUGCAUCAUUUUUUUUGAGGAACAGUAGGUGCAUCAUUUUACUUUAGCAACCCUCCAAAAGUGGAAAUUGGCCUGGAGUGCAGAGUUAUGAGGAAAAUAUGUUAUAACAGAAUUGUUGGUUCUAGACAGAGGCGAAAGAGGCAUUGCAUCACUGCUGCAAAUCCUUAAUUAUAACAGGUAGUUUGCAAGAUUAGAGAGGGCCAGAUUCUUUCGGUUGUUUGUUAUGACACAAAUACAAAAGCUGAAAUGAUUUAAUAUAUGGACCAAAUCAAGGACAUAGUUCAGCGGAUGGGAUAAAGCCAUACAAAGUUACAUAUACAAGUAAUUGUUUCCAAUCUUUCUAUGAGCAUGAACCUGAGUUAAUAUCGAAAGUGCUCGCCUAUGUGAUUACCAUCUUUUUUCCUCAUCUCCUUUCUUUAACAGGUUACAAUUGUAAAUUUGGAAAGGAAAUUGAUAUUUUUAACUCUUGUUCCAAAACAGGUGGCCUUGAAUUUGGUAAAACUUGCAUGCCUGUCCCUAUUUAUUUUGAAAUUUUGGGCAAACUCUGUAUGGUUUUCUGUUGGACAACAUCGGCGAGAAGGCAAGAUGCUAAAGUAUUUAAGGUUUGCGCCUUGCCUCCUUUUGAUUUAGGUGGAAAUUAGUUCAUGGACCAAUUCUUUCUUUUGAUGUUUUAUUAUUGUUUUUCUUUUAUAGCCGAGGAACUAGCAUAAUUUUUUACAGGAUUGAUCGAUUUGUUGAUUUGUUUGUUUUAUUUUGUUCCUGUAGUUGUAGUCUCACUAGUAGAAAAAGGGCCUAUUGUC